GCCUCUGGUCGAUGGUGCCCGCCGAGAAGGCGGCGGAGGCCGGCGGCGACAAGGCCCCGCAGAUCGACGUCACUCAGUUCGGCUACUUCAAGGUGCUCGGCAAGGGGAAGCUGCCGUCCAAGCCCAUCGUCGUCAAGGCCAAGCUCAUCUCCAAGGUCGCCGAGAAGAAGAUCAAGGCCGCCGGCGGAGCCGUCGUGCUCACCGCCUAGGUUUCAGUCUUUGUCUGCCUCUUGGUUUUGAGAUCUAUAUCUGAACUAGUAGUGCUU
rnacentral:lncRNA from 1 species